rnacentral:rRNA from 1 species
UACAGAGGUCCCAAGCGUUGUUCGGAUUCACUGGGCGUAAAGGGUGCGCAGGUGGGUUUGCAAGUUUGAUGUGAAAGCCCCGGGCUUAACCCGGGAAUGGCAUUGAAUACUGCAGAUCUGGAGGAUUGGAGGGGGGACUGGAAUUCUCGGUGUAGCAGUGAAAUGCGUAGAUAUCAAGAGGAACACCAGUGGCGAAGGCGAGUCCCUGGACAAUACCUGACACUGAGGCCCGAAAGCCAAGGGAGCAAACAGG